rnacentral:lncRNA from 1 species
AGGGUAUGUAAAAUUCCAACUUAAAUAUAUCAAUCUUCCCCAUUUUCUGUAUUAGAUAUAUUUAUGAACUUGAAAGGUCUUACCUGAAUAAUGCAACCAAGUUUACAAUACCCAGGAUAAGCAAGUUCAGUAAGCUCCUCCUCUGGAAAAAUCUGUUAGCAGGGACUGUAUAAAUCCAUGUAAGUAUACUAACUCUCAAAAUCAUUUAUUGUAGUAUAAAUAAACUACUUAAAAGCUAUAAGAGCCCAUGGACAAUUGUUUGUUUGUUUGUUUGUUUUUGUUUUUCUCCUAGUAGAUAGUGAGACAUUUUAGGCAAAGGCUGAUCUGAGUUGAUAUAUUUGUAUUCUCAACACUUACAAUAGUACCUGAUAUAUAAUGAUGUUCCCUGUAUGUUUGUUGAAAAAAUAAAUAAGUGAAUGAAAUGUAUAUUUCAUCAACUACCAAGCAACGUUAACAUAAAGAAAACAUCAAACAAGUCAAAUUUUAAUGCUCAGAUAAGAACUUCCUACGGAGAAAAAUCUGCUGCUCCAGGAGAGAGCCCAAGCGAUUUCAGACUUGCAACUUCAAGUGCGCAGCAUGUUAAUGUUGUUUCUGCUUCUCUCUAUCCCCAUGGCUGCAGCUUCUUUGGGGGGCUCUUGUUAACUCUGUCUGCAUGAAUAAACCAUAAAGAAAGCUUUGCUCAUUCUAUCAAUAUAUUCUGCAUUUCCCAAAGUGUGUCAUAAAAUUUCCAACAUAAUUUUUAAAAAGGCUGAAUAGUGCAUGGUCAAUAAAUAAAUAAAUAAGAAAAGAAAAGAAAAUUUA